GAGAGUUUGAUUCUGGCUCAGGACGAACGCUGGCGGCGUGCCUAAUACAUGCAAGUCGAACGAAGCUUUCUUUCACCGAAUGCUUGCAUUCACCGAAAGAAGCUUAGUGGCGAACGGGUGAGUAACACGUAGGCAACCUGCCCAAAAGAGGGGGAUAACACUUGGAAACAGGUGCUAAUACCGCAUAACCAUGAACACCGCAUGAUGUUCAUGUAAAAGACGGCUUUUGCUGUCACUUUUGGAUGGGCCUGCGGCGUAUUAACUUGUUGGUGGGGUAACGGCCUACCAAGGUGAUGAUACGUAGCCGAACUGAGAGGUUGAUCGGCCACAUUGGGACUGAGACACGGCCCAAACUCCUACGGGAGGCAGCAGUAGGGAAUCUUCCACAAUGGACGAAAGUCUGAUGGAGCAACGCCGCGUGAAUGAAGAAGGCCUUCGGGUCGUAAAAUUCUGUUAUCAGAGAAGAACGUGCGUGAGAGUAACUGUUCACGUAUUGACGGUAUCU
rnacentral:rRNA from 1 species